rnacentral:lncRNA from 1 species
GCUAAUCGAGAUGAGAGGAAGACUGCAGCCAGCAGUCAGACCACCAGACCACGUCUGUAGACUGCAUCGGUCACUGUGGCUGUGGGAUUAGGACUGACACCAAACCCCAGUGGUUUCAGCCCGUGUGGUCCUCUCCUGCCCGACCCUUCCGAGCACUGGCCCCAGACCUCCGUGGUCCACGCGUCCGCAGCCCGCAGGCUGUCACGGGAUGAAAUACAUGUCAGCUUCCCUGGCCCUCGGACCUUGGUGUUUCCUUCCGGCUUGACGGUUUGGAGGACACCUCCUGAUGGGGGAGGGCAGAGCAGGAGAUCCAGGAACAACCCAGCAGCCCCAGCCAGGGCUCAGGCCUGCAGAGACCUGCCUGCCCCGCCAGUCCCUGCAGGGGACCCAGGGCCCCUGAUUGUCACCUUGGUAGCUUCUUCCCAAGUGCCCUCAGCUGCAGUCAGCGUUAGAAGGGCCUGACUGUGGCUGUUGAGCACACAUUGUAUAUCUGCUUGGACAUUUCCUAUGGCCAGAACAAAGGCCCUUGAGAUAAAGGUCCUCCCCCUCCGACAUUGGCAUUUCCUUAGGGAUAAGCAUCUUUCAUUAGGCUACGAAGUGAUUGCUGCACUCACCUUUGACCACCCAGCUCACCUGUGACCACCCAGCUGGAGACAACAGACUGCCACCCUGCGGGGUUCACUGAGACAGAAGACCUGCCUGCUGUUUCCAUCAAUCGCUGUGCUGACAGAGCAGUCUCGCGACGAUUGUAAAAGGGACAUUUCAAUCCUAUGUGAAACAUCCUCUUUGGGGGUAUAUAACCACUCUGUGCACCCCACUUCUUUGGUGCCCUUUCUUCCUUCGGGAAGAAAGGCCCCAGGUUAUAAUCCUCAAAUUUAAGCUCAGAAUAAACUCACCCAAAUUUUCAUUUAUAGAUUGGUUAUGGAUUAUUUUCGUCGACAUUGGUGAGCCAGGAGCCUGGUGGAGAUUGGAGGAGGAGAGAGCAGUGGGAUUUGACCCGCCACCACCUCCUGCAGGGUCCCCUGGGACAGUCCCUGUCCCCCCACUUCCCAUCGCUUCUCUGGGGCAGUGUCCCCAUGGCCCUCUCACCCCCUUUGCAGCCUGGGCGGUAGGUCGCUCGUGACCCUGCAGCCAGCCCUGGAGGCACUGUGCGUGUCUCUGGUUUCCCGGGGUCCUGCCUACCCCUCUCCAAAUGGUGCUCAGAGGCCACUCUCUCCUGGUUUUCUGACUUGGGUGGUCAUCUGUUUCUGUUGGGAGCCUGAUUGAGACACUGCCUCUGCCUGACUCUCGAGGUGGGGGAGGGACUCCAUCA